AAGACAGUGACUGUGUGCAGCUGUGGGGUUUUCUUCAGCGGACUAGAUCUGUUAAGUGAGGUUUACCCUGGGACAGCAGGCAUUAUUAAACAGCCCACUAUUUAUUCAGUGGCAGUGUCUUCAGCACUGGAUAUGAGGAAACCGUACAGCUGGGGCCCUGGGAAUGAGGCAGUGGAAAGACAGCCCGUUUUCUCGCGGGCCUUACAUAAUAAAGGGUAUAGGCAACGAAGAAACGUGCAAAUAAUUGUAGUCAGAGUAAUUAUGGGAUGCAGAUCACCUCAGAGAGACCCAAGCACUGGCACGGACGUUUAGUAAUAAGGAAAUGAGGAGAGAGCAGCUGCUGUCCUUGAUAAAGCAUCCUCCUCGGGCUUCAUCUUGCCACGUCUUACAGCACAGUAUUUCUGGGCUUCCUGGGGAGUUGUUGGGAGAGCUGGUUGUGACCUCACCUAAACGCCCACUGCCCUGUGGAGGUAAUACCAUGCCACAAGCAAGCAACGUGAGAACAGGGGCUCAGACAGCUCACAAACACAGCCGGGGGCACAGAUGGGACUCCUGAGUGUCUCUCCUAUCGCUCGUCUACUAUCUGGUUGGAAGCUGUUGACCAGCAGUAGCGCGCCCUUCUCCCUCCGGCCCCCGGGGGGUUCCAACACUGGAAGGCGCACCAUCUAAUACUUCACUGUCCUCCUGUUUAGCGUUUGGUUGGUGUUUCUGCCGUUGGUGCUUUAAAAGCCAGUCCCUAAUGGUCUGAGUUAAACAGACCCUCCUGUGAAAACAGACACUGCAGCCAGCCCCUGCCGGAUCCCAGGCCUGACACUGCGGGUAGUGAAGCCAGAAGCAGGGUAGGGAGCAGAGUUGGGGAUUUGUGCUAAGUCCAGCGGGAGCUCAUUCUUACGCAUUUAUUUUCUUCUUGACUUGGAUCUUUAAUUUAUUACUGUGAGGAAAACCACAUAAUUGUAAAAA
rnacentral:lncRNA from 1 species